rnacentral:other from 1 species
ACUUCCUAAGCCGGAACGAAAAGUCUCUUUGUCGCAAUACAUUGGAACUUUUGGCUUUGUGGUUGUGAUGUUGUGUUUGCAAGUUGUCUGGGAAACCAGACUUUGUAGCGCAAGCUACUGUUUUUUCACUUCCUGUACAUUUACCCUGUCUGUCCAUAGUGAUUUUUUUAAUGCACCGCAAUUGCGGUGCUUUUUUUC